rnacentral:rRNA from 1 species
UACAGAGGUGGCAAGCGUUGUUCGGAAUUACUGGGCGUAAAGGGCGCGUAGGCGGUUCGUUAAGUCCUGUGUGAAAUCCCUCAGCUUAACUGGGGAACUGCGUGUGAUACUGGAUGGCUUGGAUUUGGGAGAGGGAUGCGGAAUUCCAGGUGUAGCGGUGAAAUGCGUAGAUAUCUGGAGGAACACCGGUGGCGAAGGCGGCAUCCUGGACCAAUAUUGACGCUGAGGAGCGAAAGCCAGGGGAGCAAACGGG